rnacentral:rRNA from 1 species
GACGAACGCUGGCGGCGCGCCUAACACAUGCAAGUCGAACGAGCGAGAGAGAGCUUGCUUUCUCAAGCGAGUGGCGAACGGGUGAGUAACGCGUGAGGAACCUGCCUCAAAGAGGGGGACAACAGUUGGAAACGACUGCUAAUACCGCAUAAGCCCACAGGUCGGCAUCGACCAGAGGGAAAAGGAGCAAUCCGCUUUGAGAUGGCCUCGCGUCCGAUUAGCUAGUUGGUGAGGUAACGGCCCACCAAGGCAACGAUCGGUAGCCGGACUGAGAGGUUGAACGGCCAAAUUGGAAAUGAGACACGGCCCAGAAUCCUACGGGAGGCAGAAGUGGGGAAUAUUGCGCAAUGGGGGAAACCCUGAUGCAGCGACGCAGCGUGGAGGAAGAAGGUCUUCGGAUUGUAAAACCCUGUUGUUGAGGAAGAUAAUGACGGUACUCAACAAGGAAGUGACGGCUAACUACGUG